CUGGGAGCUAACGAUCUGCUAACAAGGCUGAUAAGAAACCUGUGGAGACAGAGUGAGCGGUAAAUUGCGAUGGUUGGAGGUAGGGUGUGGAGGUCUACAAGUAUCUGAACAUGUGGUAGGGGUGGAAUUAAAGCAAAGAAGGCUGGAUAAGGAGUGAAGGCAGGAUGUUUGGUGUUGCAGGUCACUCAGUAAGAGCUGGCCUGCAGCCCUGCUGUUUCUACUGCUGCACUGAGGAUGGAAGUGGAGGUUUUGGUGCUCCAUGAGGCUCAGCAAGCUGGGGACAGUCUGCCCAGCCAGCAGGAAAGGGAAAGUUCCCCAGCACAGGGCUGUUUGCUGCAAACCUCAUCAUGAAGCAAACCCUGAGUCCUGUUUAAAAAGAUAUGAUUCAUCUUGCUUGAAUUUGUUCUUUCUAUUGUUUCAGUUUGUCUGUGCCUUCAGGCAUGCAGCUGAUGCCUGGAAGGAAGGAUGCACCUCCGAUCGCCCAGAGUCCUGAUUCGCUCUGUGUGUGUUGUAUUUGCUUCUGCAUGGCACUCAAUUGUUGCAGCACUUCCAGCCUGGCCUCAAACCUUCAAUCUUCAUCCCUCACUGGGCUGAGAGUGGUUUUGCUCAAGCAGAUUACAAGGUGAAGUUGCCCUGAGUGCAAGCCAGCAGCGCUGCUCCAUGGCAGCAGUGCAGGUGGUAGCAUCGGCAGCAGGAGGCAUCAAGCUGUGUCCAGCCGCAGCAUCAAACUUGCUUCAACAGGAACUAGAGGACUGGCCAGAAAAACCCUUGGCCUUGAGUGCUUCCAGGGAGGAGUCUGCAUACACACUCAGUUUCUGACUGCCUGCUGGCCAGUGUAAUCUGCAUGUUGGUGAAUCCAGCCUAUGCCAACUUAAACACGAGUUUUGUCUAAAGUUUAUGUCUGUUUCUGGAGAGUACCUGGCUGAAGUGUCUUUUCUUCAUUUGAAAUAAAAAUGUGUAUAUUGAAAGAUGCAAAAGACGUUCAAGAAAUGCACAAAUCAUUGUUUGAGGCAGGCUGAGCAGUGGGACUGAGUUAAGUAAUGGAUAGCAUCUGUUUUGAUUUUUGAGGGUUUCUAAACUGUAUAGUUACACUAAACAAUUUUGAGUAAAGAAAUCUUUCCUAGGUAGCUUCCAAUUUAUCCCUUUGCUUGCUCAAUCAGUAUUGCUGUGCUCUGCCAAACAUCAGUGCAGUUGUGUGACUAUAGCUGACACUUUUAGCUAGAUCAACCAAUGCUUUCUCAUGUUGCAAUAUAUAUAUAUAAGUAAAUAGAUUCAGGGACAAAUUGUCCAACAAGAAUCUGUAGCACAGAAGGGAUUCUGGAGUCAUCUUCAAAGCGUAUAUUGAUAUUUUUAAAAUGACCUAUGAGUGUCCCUCUAUUUUGCAGGGAGUGCAGAGGGAUUUUCAGUAUGAUAGUUAGGUUAUUAAAUUACUGUUGGAAAUGUGGAGCUGACCUCCAGUGGCAAGUAUUUCCGUGAAAACAUUGGCAUACACUUCAUUUGGUGAACUUUCGUCUAUUGUUUCUUUUCUAAAAUCAAAAUAAACCAUAGAAAUACA